GCUGGUUUCGACGAAUCUACCCCUACCGGCUCGGUGGACAGUAAGACGGAACUGCAGCCGCGUCUCACCACCUGGGACGAUGACGACGCGGCCGACAUCCCCAUGAUCCCGGACCUGGACGAGGUGCAGGAGGAGGACCUGACGCUACAGGUGGCGCCUGCUCCCACAGCGCCUGUCAACCGCGUGGCCACGAUGCAAGAACUGAACGCGGACCUGGAGA